ensembl:lncRNA
UAGAAGAGCAGCAAUCACAAAAAUAUUUAAUCUCGCAAGUUCACUGGAUAACAAGGAAAAACUGGAAAUAUUCAAGGAAACCCUUCAAACAGCGAUAGAAGAGGAAGAGAGACUGAAGGAGGAAGGACGAGGCGGAGAGACUGGAGGAGAGGUUCAUGGAGUUUGGGGAAUUUAUUGUACACUGACGCAUUACCACGCACCACGGGAAAAGGGAGAGUGCCACGAAGGAAGAUUUGCGCUGUGGAUUGUUGUUUACUCAUUUCCUCACAGUAAAUAAUAGCACUGAUCUACUAUACCGAGGGGUCCGAGUCUGGGUCCGCUAACCACUUCUGACAAGUACAACACAUCAGAUCGUCCUCCAUUCACAAAGCAGUGAUGGCAGAAGCAGCUACCAGAACAAGAGGGCGAACUUGCUUCAGAUUCAUCAAGUGCUUGUUUGUCUUUAUAAUUCUGUUCAUCUUAUCUCUCCUGUGCCUUAUUUUCAUGGCAAUCUGGGCCAAGGACCAAGUGUUUCAGCAAAUACAGAAAAGAGUAAACGAAGAAGUUGACAAACACAAGGAAGAUGGCGUGUGUAGAACAGCAGAAAUCACAAAAAUAUUGGAUCUCACAAGUUCACUGGAUAACAAGGAAAAACUGGAAAUAUUCAAGGAAACCCUUCAAACAGCGAUAGAACAGGAAGAGAGACUGAAGGAAGAAUCCAAGUACAAAGUGACAAUGGCCUCAAAACAAUUCAAUGAAGAAAUGAAGGAACUUAUUCCUGAAUUGGUAGAAGCAAUGAUAUUAUCAUAUUAUUCUCCACCACUGCAGGAAAUGGUUGACAUUGCAUUUCACAUGUCGAAAAAAACCAGGACUUACUUAGAUAAGAAGCUGGAUUUGCUGCAAGAAUAGAGAAAGGAGUAAAUGAUGAGCUUCAGAAAAUUGUAAGAGAAACAAUAAAUUGAACUUUUGUUUCUGUUUUCAUUUGUUGACCUAUGUAACGUAUAUCAUGUAUUUGUGAAAGGACAUAAUCUGAAUUGUUUUUGUGACUUUCUCUAAUUGUAUACUUCUUAGCGGCGUAAGAUCUUGCCCUAUAAUGGUCUCUGAGUGGUAUUAUAAAGUGAAAAGCUUUACUCCUGGUGUGAGGCCUAAACAAGAGCACAGUUGAGCUCUUCAGUCUUGAUGCAAUAAUGACUGCAGUAGUGAAACCUGGAUCCUUGUGUAGGCAGCACAACUUGUCAGUUUGUUGCAGUUAUUUAAGUUCCAGUGUUGCAGUUGUUUAGGCUGUGUUUAACUUCCUUAUCAAAGAGACCAGAAAAAGGCAGACCUGCAUAGUGUAUGAUCCGUUCUGUUCUGAAACUAAACCUGAGGUUUCCAAAUCUAGCUAGUGCUUCCACAUGUAUGAUCUGGUGUUGGCAGCAUGUAACCAGUCACAGACAUGAACAGGUCUACUGGCAAGUUGUGCUCCCACCUCAUGGAUUCUCUGCUGACAGUAAUAUUAUUUUGAUCAUAUUAGCUAAUGUGAUCAAAACAAAACAAAAAUGUUUUGAUCACAUACACAAGAAUAUUAAACACAUAAACACAAACAGUACAUUGUGUGAGUGUGUGUGUGUGUGUGUGCUUGUUGAUGUUUUAUUUACUCCUUUACUUAGAAGAGUUUUUCUGAUUAGAAAAAUACUGCUACAGUGUAUACCAUUACAUAUUAACAUAUAUUAAUUUAGGUAAUAAAAAUUCUUGGUGAUUUAUGUCAAUAAAGGAUUUGUAACUGUGCAAACUGUGACAUUUAUGGGGAAAUAAAGCGGUUGUGGCUACUUGGUUUUUAUAAACUUGAAUGGUACAGUUCUGUCAUGAAAUCUUCAUCAAACAAUUACAAUUUAAGAAAUAUAAUUAUAUUGUUUAUAAUGGUCUUUUUUCCAUAAAUUUAGCAUAACAUAUUAUGGUCAUUUUUAAUGUGGUCAUUAUCUUAUAAUUAUGACAUAAUUCAUGAAAUAUAUGAAUGUUUAAUGGGUUAUCUAAUCAUUAAGUUAUUUAAUUCAACACAAAGGUACUGACUAAGUCUCUGGCUGAUGUACUGAUGAACUGAGCAGUUGUAUUCACUAAUUCAAGAGGUUGAAAUUUGAAUAAUACAUAAAUAUAUUUAUGAAAAUCUCAAUCUAAACAUUUGUGAAUAUUUUUUGAGUGGUGUGUAUGGUGUGCUCAAUACACAUCCAUGCAGUGAGCUAAUAUUGAGGAUGAUGAUGGAGGACAAGACACUGGAAAUUUUCACAGACUCACGCUUGUCUGUCAAGAAUUCCAGCACCAGUUGUCUGAGUCCCAACAAUAAAAGUGGCUAGUGUCUGUGGAAUGAUGGUAUUAAACGCAAAAUUAAAGUCCAGAAAGAGUAGUCAGACAUAUACACUCCAAGUCAAAACUGUGGACACACCUUCUCAUUUAAUGGUUUUUCUUUAUUUUCAUGACUAUUUACAUUGUAGAUUCUCACUGAAGGCACCAUUACACUUUUUUAUUUACUACAUAAUUCCAUAUGUGUUUAUUCGUAGUUUUAACUCAAAACACGUUUUAUAUUUUAGAUUAUUCAAAAUAGCCUCCCUUUGCUUUGAUUACUGCUUUGCACACUCUUGGCAUUAUCUCUAUGAGCUUCAUGAG